CAAACGAUUUCUGUAGCGGGUUCUGAGAGGAAUGAUCGGCACACUUGGAACUGAGAACCGACCAGACUCUACGGGAGGCAGCAGUGGGGAUAUUGGACAUGGGCGCAGCUGAUCAGACAUGCCGCGUGUGUGAAGAAGCUAUGGUGUAAAGCACUUUAAGCGAGGAGGAGGCUACUUUAGUUAAUACCUAGAGAUAGUGGACGUUACUCGCAGAAUAAGCACCGGCUAAACUCUGUGCCAGCAGCCGCGGUAAUACAGAGGGUGCAAGCGUUAAUCGGAUUUACUGGGCGUAAAGCGCGCGUAGGCGGCUAAUUAAGUCAAAUGUGAAAUCCCCGAGCUUAACUUGGGAAUUGCAUUCGAUACUGGUUAGCUAGAGUGUGGGAGAGGAUGGUAGAAUUCCAGGUGUAGCGGUGAAAUGCGUAGAGAUCUGGAGGAAUACCGAUGGCGAAGGCAGCCAUCUGGCCUAACACUGACGCUGAGGUGCGAAAGCAUGGGGAGCAAACAGGAUUAGAUACCCUGGUAGUCCAUGCCGUAAACGAUGUCUACUAGCCGUUGGGGCCUUUGAGGCUUUAGUGGCGCAGCUAACGCGAUAAGUAGACCGCCUGGGGAGUACGGUCGCAAGACUAAAACUCAAAUGAAUUGACGGGGGCCCGCACAAGCGGUGGAGCAUGUGGUUUAAUUCGAUGCAACGCGAAGAACCUUACCUGGCCUUGACAUAGUAAGAACUUUCCAGAGAUGGAUUGGUGCCUUCGGGAACUUACAUACAGGUGCUGCAUGGCUGUCGUCAGCUCGUGUCGUGAGAUGUUGGGUUAAGUCCCGCAACGAGCGCAACCCUUUUCCUUAUUUGCCAGCGAGUAAUGUCGGGAACUUUAAGGAUACUGCCAGUGACAAACUGGAGGAAGGCGGGGACGACGUCAAGUCAUCAUGGCCCUUACGGCCAGGGCUACACACGUGCUACAAUGGUCGGUACAAAGGGUUGCUACCUAGCGAUAGGAUGCUAAUCUCAAAAAGCCGAUCGUAGUCCGGAUUGGAGUCUGCAACUCGACUCCAUGAAGUCGGAAUCGCUAGUAAUCGCGGAUCAGAAUGCCGCGGUGAAUACGUUCCCGGGCCUUGUACACACCGCCCGUCACACCAUGGGAGUUUGUUGCACCAGAAGUAGCUAGCCUAACUGCAAAGAGGGCGGUUACCCGCCG
rnacentral:rRNA from 1 species